CUGUCCCUUUCCCUGUUUGUCUCUCUCUCUCUCCCGUGUUUCCUUUCCCUUUCCCUUUCUUUUUCUUCCUCUUCCUUAAACUGGUACAGACACACACACAACCAUACUUUACACCCACAGAUCGAGAGAACUAAAGCCAUAUUUGAGAUCGUGAGGCUCGUACGAGUCCAACCACACCAUUUUCAGCUUGUAAUUGUGUUUGUGAGGUUCCCAGAAGCUUGGGAGUGCUUCGUUGGACAAAUUUGGACGUCGGGAAAGCUUGGUUCGAAGUUGGCCGAGCUUUGGAGUUUUGGACAAGUGACACGUAUCCCGAGGACGAGCGUGCACACUCAAGGCAGCGGGGCUACGACCCUUCCA